GCCUGGGUGGCUCAGUGGGUUGAGCCCCUGACUUCGGCUCAGGUCAUGAUCUCAGGGUCCUGGGAUCGAGCCCCGCAUCGGGCU
rnacentral:tRNA from 1 species